ensembl:lncRNA
UGCUGGGAUUACAUUACCCCUAUGCAUUGGGGUUGCUGUGCAGACAUCCCAAGAAACAAGGGCCAGAGGGAAGAAGGUUGAAAUUGUAAAAGUGGACCUGGUGGAUGGUUGUUAAGGCAUUCCUUGACAAGUGAGCCACUGUGCCUGGCCUUUUUUUUCUUUUUUGAGACAGGGUCUUGCUCUGUCACAAAGUGAUGGAGUGUGAUAGUGCGAUCAUGGCUCACUGCAACCUAGACCUCCCAGGCUCCAGUGAUCCUCCCACCUCAGUCUCUCAAGUAGCUGGGACCACAGGCAGGUGCCACCAUGCUUGGCUAUUUUCUUUUUUCUUUUCCUAGACUCCAAAGCUAGUGCCAGAUCAGCUGAUUUUUUUUUUUAAUUUUAAUUUUUUUUUUUUUAGGAAUGAGGUCUCACUAUGUUGCCCAGGCUGAUCUCGAACUCCUGACCCCAAGCAAUCCUCCAACUCUGGCCUCCCAGAGUGUUGGGAUUAUAGAUAUGAGCCACUGCACAGCCCCUAAUUUAUCUAAGCUAUAGUUUCUUCAACUGUACUUGAGGCUAAUAAUAUUGCCUAAGUAGUAUUGUUAAGAAGUUAAAUGCAAUAAUGCUUAAAAAGUACUUACUAUGUGCCUAUCACAUAGAAAAUACCUCAUAAAUCUACUGGGCACGGUGGCUCACACCUGUAAUCCUAGCACUUUGGGAGGCUGAGGCAGGCGGAUCACCUGAGGUCAGGAGUUUGAGACCAGCCUGGCCAAGAUGGAGAAACCCCGUCUCUACGAAACAUAUGAAAAUUACUGGGAUUACAGGUGUGCGCCACCACGUCUGGCUAAUUUUCAUAUUUUUAGUAGAGACGGGGUUUCACCAUGUUGGUCAGGCUGGUCUUACACUCCUGACCUCAUUAUCCACCUGCCUCGGCCUCCCAAAGUGCUGGGAUUACAGGCAUGAGUCACCGUGCCUGGCCCAAGUAUCAUUUUUAAGAGAAAAAUGGGAAACAAACUCAAUGUCCAAUAGUAGGGUGAACUAAAUUAUGAUAUAUCCGCUUGAUAGCAUUGUUAAAAAUGAUGAUAAAUGUUCACAACAUAUUGUUAAAUGAAAAAAGUCAGUUUUAGGCCAGGCCUGGUGGCUCAUGCCUGUAAUCCCAGUACUUUGGGAGGCCGAGCCAGGCGGAUCACCAGAGGUCAGGAGUUCAGUACCAGCCUGUCCCACAUGUCUCUAGUAAAAAUACAAAAAAAAAAAAAAAAAAAAUUAACUGGGCAUGGUGGCGGGCACCUGUAAUCCCAGCUACUCUAGAGGCUGAGGCAGCAGAAUCUCUUGAAUCCAGGAGGCAGAGGUUGCAGUGAGUGGAGAUUGGGCCACCCGUACUCAUCCUGGGCUACGGAGUAAGACUCCUCUCAAAAAACAAAAAAGGUCAGUCCUAAAAUAAUAUGGCCUAAAUUUUCAAAAAGCAUUAGGUUGAGACAUAUGAAAUUGUUCAUAUUUGAUCAUUUUUAACCUAUAAAAUCAGCAAUUUCAUAUGACUUAAUAUAUGUACACUGAAAAGUACACAAAUAAGAAGCUAGGUGCAGUGGCCUAUGCUUAUAAUCCCAGCUACUUGGGAGAAUGAGGUGGGAGGAUUGCUUGAGCCCAUGAGUUCAAAGCUACAGUGAGUUAUAAUUGCACAGCUGCACUCCAGCCUGGGCAACAGAGUGAGACCCUAUCUCUUGAAAAAGUAAAUAAAAAA